rnacentral:tRNA from 1 species
UCAUAGAAGUAAAAAUUACAUUUAGUUUCGACCUAAAAUUAGGAAUAAUUCCCUAUGCU